GACAGAGGGUGCAAACGUUGUUCGGAAUUACUGGGCGUAAAGCGCGUGUAGGCGGUCGUGCAAGUCGGGUGUGAAAGCCCCAGGCUCAACCUGGGAAGUGCAUUCGAUACUGCGAGACUCGAGUCCCGGAGAGGAUGGUAGAAUUCUCGGUGUAGAGGUGAAAUUCGUAGAUAUCGGGAAGAAUACCGGUGGCGAAGGCGGCCAUCUGGACGGUGACUGACGCUGAGACGCGAAAGCGUGGGGAGCAAACAGG
rnacentral:rRNA from 1 species